CAGUUCUUCAGCUGCCUCCUGUACCAAAGCCAUUUGCUUCCCACUCCUUGAUGCAAGGUAUUUUCUUGGGGUAAAAUUCAGUCAGAGUGUGCAGCUCUUCAACUUUCCUAGGGAGAUUUGAAUUGUAGGAAAUGGUCAGGAAAAAUGAGGCACUGCAUCCCUCUAAGAAUGACUUUACAGGUUGUCUCCAGCCCUGUGAAGUAUGCCUGGGUCCCUUUUGCAAGCAGGUCUUGCAACCAUGAAGGCUAAAAGCCUAGUAAAUAAAAAGUAGUGCGUAGGAAGCAGAGGUGGCUACCCUCUUCUGCUGUCCUGCAGUUUCCCAUUCACAGUGUCUUCAAAUGCUAACAAACUGCUGGAAGGAGAUGCAAACCACAGAUACAAACCACAAACUCCCUCAUACUGAAGCUGCUCUGCACCCAGUCAGCCUGAAAGUUGUCUGAUUCCCCAGGGAGAUUGCCAGCCUAUGCUCUUUCUGAGGUAUAGAGCAGGAGUGGGGGAUUGUGACAAGGCAAAGGAACAAUCUUAACUUGCCAUGAAAAACUAAGGAAUUACAAAGAGACUUUUCUUCCUACAUCAGUUACUUCCAAAGUGGGAGCUACAAUGGAUGUGAUCUCUGUGCUGGCUCCCCUCCCUGUCCCACUGCUGCUUGCUGGUGGUGGAAACAGGUGUGCUGGGUACCUGGUUGGGAGUGUACGCAGCAGGAGGAAGGAAAUGGAAAGCAGCUGAAGCCAGCUGGAGAGAGAAGUUUGUGUGCAAGAGAGUUUAAACCAGCCACUGGAAGGAAAUCAAAAGGUAGACGGAGUUCCUGGGUGAGGCAGAGCUGUGAAUUGGAGUGGAAAGAAAGGGUCCAGAAACUACAAGUCCUUCCUCAAAAGUUACCCUUUGCUAGAGAAUGUUUUGCUGUAUCACUCCCUAUCUUGACUUUUUCCUGGGUUUUUAAUUGUCCCAUAAAAACCUAAGUGAAGAAAUCACAGCCAAAGGGUUGGAUACAUAACUACUUGUGCCAUCACACAGGACCCACCUCCUAAGAGUCCGUCUGGGGAUUGUAGUACCUCUACUUUGAACUAGGCUGAAAGACCCAUUUCCAUCCUCACCUUGUUCUCAGUUCCUGCUUCAGGAGCAGAGGGGACCUACAAUGCAGCAGUUUCUCCCUCUGUCCGUGGUGCACAGAACAGUGAGCAAAACCACACCAAAGCGAUAUACAGAGAAGUAAUCAAAUCCAGAGAAAAGACAAAGCAAAAUGAAGGCAAGACUGUUGCAAAGAGCUACUGAAGGGGCCAAAGUAGAGAGCCUGCAUGACUCCAGAAAAUCUUCAUGGCUAGGAAGACAGCUUGUGGCAGAAGCUGUCUAUUCCAUCCAUAUGAACACCAACACUGGAAAAAUAAGCAGGACAAAUGGUAUCUUUCACAGACUUUAAGUAAAAGCUUGUCUUUGGUGGCAGUCCUAAAGAGCCAGCCGGACCUCCAA
rnacentral:lncRNA from 1 species